rnacentral:rRNA from 1 species
AGCAGCCGCGGUAAUUCCAGCUCCAAUAGCGUAUAUUAAAGUUGUUGCAGUUAAAAAGCUCGUAGUUGAAUUUCGGGGUUAGUAGGUUGGUCAUGCCUCUGGUAUGUACUGGUCUCACUGAUUCCUCCUUCCUGAUGAACCUUAAUGCCAUUAAUUUGGUGUUUUGGGGAAUUUGGACUGUUACUUUGAAAAAAUUAGAGUGUUUAAAGCAAGCUAACGCUUGAAUACAUUAGCAUGGAAUAAUGAAAUAGGACGUUCGAUCCUAUUUUGUUGGUUUCUAGGAUUGACGUAAUGAUUAAUAGGGAUAGUUGGGGGCAUUAGUAUUCAAUUGUCAGAGGUGAAAUUCUUGGAUUUAUUGAAGACUAACUACUGCGAAAGCAUUUGCCAAGGAUGUUUUCAUUAAUCAAGAACGAAAGUUAGGGGAUCGAAGACGAUCAGAUACCGUCGUAGUCUUAACCAUAAACUAUGCCGACUAGGGAUCGGAUGAUGUUAAAUUUUUUUAAUGACUCAUUCGGCGCCU